UUUGUUGAUUAUUCUUUCAAAAAUAAUAAUUAAUGAAUAUAUACUUAUACAUUGUAUAUUAUUUUUAUAAAAAUCAAAACACAAAUUUGUUUCCACAUUAUUUGGAAAUAUCGAAUGUUUUUUUUACUAGCGUUGUUUAUGGUUUCUUUUAUAGGAUUUGCUAUUGACUGUUGCUACUAUUCUUACUAUAAUAAUAACAUACAAUGUAACAAUAUAAUAAUAAAAAAAAGGUUAAAAAGAAUAUAUUUUUAUUUAUUACGUUUAGUAUUUCUUGCUCGAAAUUGUUCAUUGUUUUAAAGGUCGUGUAAUCUUCUGAUUCGAGAAUUGGUGGAUCUUCAAACAAUAACAUAUCGCCAUUGUCUUUACUAUUACAAUAUAAAAUAUACAUAAUAUGUAUAAUAUUUAAGUUUUUAUUAUUAUAUUAUUGUUGUUGUUGUUGUUGUUGUUGUUAUCAGUAAUAGUAAUAUUGUAAUAAUUGAAGUAGUAUAAAUAAGGUGCAGUCAAAAAUAUAAGUUUUCGUUAAAAAAAAGUAGUCGCAUUUUUUCAAUGCGCAAAGAUAUAUAAAAUUAUUUGCAUAUUAUAUAGCGUAUAAUAUCAUUUAACUUUGAUCUAUUUUUACUUCUAUAUCACGGCCUUUUUCUUAUUUUUUGCAUUACUUUUUAUUCCUUUAUUCUAUUUCUUAUUGUCUCUACACUUUUUUUUUUAUUUUCCAUCAUUUAAAAAAUACAGCCUGUUCCAGUUAUGUGAGACACCCUAUAUAUGUAUAUAUCUAGAAGGUCGUGAAAGUUGAAGAUUAGAGGCAUUGAUAUGACGUGUUAGAUUUAUAUUAUAAGUAGUUUAUAAAUAUUUAUGUUAAUACGUUUGUAAGAAAAUUUCAUCAAAAUGGAGAAUAAUAAGUUAGAUAUAGUAAUAUUUGGUGGUACUGGAUUUACUGGACGGUAUGUUAUUAAAGAAGCAGCACGUUUGGCUAAAGAAAAAGAAUUUAAUUUUGGUGUAGCUGGGCGUAGAAAAGAGGCAUUAGAAUCUGCUGUUAAAACAUAUGCACCGGAUAUUGAAAAUGUUCCCAUUAUUAUCGCGGAUAUCAAGAAUGAAGAAUCUCUUAAAAAAAUGGUAGAAAAGGCAAGAGUGCUUGUAAACUGUUGCGGUCCAUUUGUAUAUUAUGGUGAACCUGUUAUCAAAGCUUGUAUAGCUGCCAAAGUUCAUUAUGUUGAUGUUACUGGAGAAACUCUGUUCAUAGAAGAUAUGCAAUUGAAGUAUAACAAAGCGGCACAAGACGCUGGUAUCUACAUUGUAAAUGCUUGUGGCUUUGAUAGCGUUCCUGCGGACCUUGGCACGGUUUUUACACAACAAAAGUUUGGCGGGGAAGUUAAUAGUACCGAAAUAUACUUUAAUAUUUUCAACAAUGGAAAGAUUAACAAACCAAUAGCUAACUUUGCAACCUUGGAAAGUCUUAUUUAUGGAUUAAUUAACAUAAAUAAAAUACGUGAUGUUCGUAAAAAAUUAUUUUUGGAAAAACUACCCGACUUGAAGCCUAAAUUAAAAUUCAGUUGGCUUCCACAUAGAUGCGCUUUUACAAAUAAAUGGUCCGUAUUAUUUCCAUCUGGAGAUCAUGCAAUAAUUAAUCGUUCACAAAGAUAUUUCUUUGACAAAUAUAAGCAGAGACCUAUUCAGACUAGCAUAUAUGUUUCAGUCGAAUCUAUAUUUUAUAUAUUUUUAUUAUUUUUUAUGAUCAUAAAUAUUAUUUUAUUGAAAUUUUCAUAUGGACGCAGUUUAAUAUUAAAGUACCCUAAACUAUUUACUUUGGGUUUAAUAACUCAUGAAGAACCAAGCGAAAAAACAUUGAACCAAUUAGAAAUAUCUCUUAUUUUCUCAGCACGUGGUUGGACUGAAAAAUUAAGUGAACCUUCUGAUGUUCAUUCUGAUCUUCCAAAUAAGGAGAUGAUUGCAAAAGUUACUUGUUGCAAUCCUUACAAAGUUACUGCUAUUAUUGUAAUCUUAUGUGCUCUUACUAUUUUUAAAGAUUCUGAUAAAAUGCCUGAAAGUGGCGGUGUUUUUACUACUGGUGCUGCAUUUAGUAAGACUUCUCUUAUUGAUGAACUAAAUAAAGAGGGUGUUAAAUUUGAAGUUGUUUCAUCCAUUGAAAAAUGAAGGUAUUAUUAACACGUACUAACAUCAAGUAUUCCAAUAUUUUUAUCUUAUUACUUAUUAUUUGUUACUUAUUUUUCUGUAUUAUCUAUAUUAUUAUAGAAUUAACUACUAUACUUUGCUUUUAAUAUUAAUAAUGUUAUAAACAUAGAUCUAUAAUAUUAUUUACUUAUUACUAUUGUUACUACUAUUUACUUGGUUACUAUUAUUUCUAACAAAAAUGAGAGUUAUCUAUUUACACGUUUUUCUCGAAGGUAUUUGGUUUUUCACAAUAAUUUUCAUUUAUGGUAUUUUGUAUAUGUUCACAUUUACAUUGUUGUAUUUAUUAUUUUGAAUAAAAUAUAGAAUUUUUUGUUUUAUUUUAUUAUAAUUAUAUAAUAGAAAAUUGCGAAUUAAGAAUAAUAAUUGUAAGAAGAAAUUAUUCUCUCUUUGUUCAAUUAUACGAAAAGAAAAAUAUAUACUUUUCAUUGGAUUAAGAUAACAUAUUCCGAGAAAAAUUAUCGUUCAAAUAUAUAUAUAUAUAUAUAUAUAUAUAUAUAUAUAUAUAUAUUUCUGUUAAUAUCUUAAUUCGAUUAGUUUGUUUCAUUCAAUUUACUAUUUUUAACCAAUUACAAAUUUUUACUAUUGGCUUGUAUCAUCGCGAAUAAAGUUCUCAAAGAAUAUUACCUUUUUAGUCAAAAUUGAAUGAAAUAGCUUGAUGUGUAUAAAAUAUAAAGAGAAGAGAGAUCGAUGAAAGGUGUAAAUAUACAAAGGAAAAGUAUACUUUCUUCGUAAAUUAUUAUCUACAGACGUCAUAAAAUCGUUAUCUUCGUUACUCAUGACGUCAUGAUAUCGUUAUCCUCGUUGCUCAUGACGUCGAGUAUAAAGCAUGAUCAAUAAGUUGGCAAAACUGGAAACCCGAUGUUUCUGUAGUAUUUUACGUAUGUGAUAUGCCAGGUGGGCACGUAAUUACUGGAUAUUCCAAGAUGAAAUCCCAGAUAAAUAACAUCGGUUUUUCAGAAUCGUGCGAAUCGUAUCUUACGUAUUUUCUUUGAAAGGAGACUCGCUUGAGGAACUAAGCAAAGAUUAUAUUAAUGAAUAUGUUAAUUCGUAUUUCUUCUCAAACUUGUUAACAUAACGAUCGAUUGAUAAAUGAUAAUGGCAAUGAUCACGCAACGAUUGUUAUUUAAUCAAUCUUCAUUAAACGUUAAAAUCAUGGAUAAAGCCAUGUAACACAU